GAAAUUUUCUUCUUCUUCCCUAAAAUAAAUAAGCCGAAUUUUUUCUUUUUUGUUAUUGAUUACCUAAAAUAUAGAGAUUGUGUAGAGGAUAUUUGACUAGAAAUCAGGAUUUGAUUGGCUGAAGUUUUUCUCAUAUUUUCUAGAUACUUUUUUUUGAGGGAUGAAUGGUUGAAUCGUGGGUAGAUGGGAAGAUCAUAUGGUUGGAAGUGAAUCUUAAAUUCAUUCCAUAUAUACAGGUAAAUCUUCCCUGUUAAGAAUUAUUUUGGAUGAGAAUUUUCUAUUUUUGAGGAGAAGAAUAUUCACCCAUUUGGAAAGAAGAUAUGGAUAAAUAGAAAAACCCUAGUUUUAUCUCAAAAUCAGAGAAAAUCAGAGAAAAAAAAGCUAAGGAAGGGAUAUCUUUUUCUCUCCUAUAAAUACAGCCCCAUAGUUAUCAAGUUUUGCUCACAAGUUACUGAUUGAAGGCUGAUUAUACCCCUUGGUUAUCCUAACUUCAAGGAUUUUCAGAACUCUAACUUAAGGUGGAAAAUGGCUAACAAAAAUGAACAACCAGCUCCAACAACUUCAUCUUCUGAGGGUAUGACUCUUUAUUGUGUGUUGGUUUGCGCCCAUGGUUGGUUAUGCGAAGAAACGGAAAUAUGGAUCCGAGCUACCAAUAGGAUCCAUAAACACAUCCAAUCAAUAUUGACAUAAUAAAUGAGCUAAUGCAGCAAGGCAAUGAAGCAUGAGCUACACCUCCGACUGAGGCAUAAGUAUUUGCUCAAUUUUUUAAGCAAAAGAAAAGACGACGUCAUGCUACAACCACUGAUUCUAACACUGAAGGACUUUAUGCAAAGUUACAAGAGCAGGCUGAUGAUAGAGUUCAAGUUCAGGAUGACCAAAUACGCGCUCAGAAUGAGGUUAUCAAAACGUUGAAAGAACAUAACAAGAAAUUCACAAGAAACAUGCAGAUUUUGAUGGGUACUCUCGGGCUAAACAACAUUACCGCUAGCGGAAUCAAUGGAAGUUGAAUGUUGCGCCACAAAGUCAAUUGUUAUAUUACUGUUUUAGUUUUAGUAUUUUUUUUAACUAGUAGCAGUGAUUAUCCUAUUUAUUGGUAGUUUACUUAUCAAUUUUUUUUGGUUUGGAUCUUGUUUAAACAAUUCAUUUUAAAGGUUAAUUAUUUUUCAUCCGACUAA